rnacentral:rRNA from 1 species
AGAGUUUGAUCCUGGCUCAGGAUGAACGCUAGCUACAGGCUUAACACAUGCAAGUCGAGGGGCAGCAUGAAAGUUUGCUUGCAAACUUUUGAUGGCGACCGGCGCACGGGUGAGUAACACGUAUCCAACCUGCCUCAUACUCGGGGAUAGCCUUUCGAAAGAAAGAUUAAUACCCGAUGUCAUAGUCCUACCGCAUGAUGGGAUUAUUAAAGAAUUUCGGUAUGGGAUGGGGAUGCGUUCCAUUAGUUAGUUGGCGGGGUAACGGCCCACCAAGACAACGAUGGAUAGGGGUUCUGAGAGGAAGGUCCCCCACAUUGGAACUGAGACACGGUCCAAACUCCUACGGGAGGCAGCAGUGAGGAAUAUUGGUCAAUGGACGAGAGUCUGAACCAGCCAAGUAGCGUGAAGGAUGACUGCCCUAUGGGUUGUAAACUUCUUUUAUAUGGGAAUAAAAUGUUCCACGUGUGGGAUUUUGUAUGUACCAUAUGAAUAAGGAUCGGCUAACUCCGUGCCAGCAGCCGCGGUAAUACGGAGGAUCCGAGCGUUAUCCGGAUUUAUUGGGUUUAAAGGGAGCGUAGGUGGCCUGCCAAGUCAGCGGUAAAAUUGCGGGGCUCAACCCCGUACAGCCGUUGAAACUGCCGGGCUCGAGUGGGCGAGAAGUAUGCGGAAUGCGUGGUGUAGCGGUGAAAUGCUUAGAUAUCACGAAGAACUCCGAUUGCGAAGGCAGCUCACUGGACUGCAACUGACACUGAGGCUCGAAAGUGUGGGUAUCAAACAGGAUUAGAUACCCUGGUAGUCCACACAGUAAACGAUGAAUACUCGCUGUUUGCGAUAUACGGCAAGCGGCCAAGCGAAAGCAUUAAGUAUUCCACCUGGGGAGUACGCCGGCAACGGUGAAACUCAAAGGAAUUGACGGGGGCCCGCACAAGCGGAGGAACAUGUGGUUUAAUUCGAUGAUACGCGAGGAACCUUACCAGGGCUUAAAUUGCACCUGAAUAAUGUGGAAACAUGUUAGCCGUAAGGCAGGUGUGAAGGUGCUGCAUGGUUGUCGUCAGCUCGUGCCGUGAGGUGUCGGCUUAAGUGCCAUAACGAGCGCAACCCUUAUCUUCAGUUACUAACAGGUCAUGCUGAGGACUCUGGAGAGACUGCCGUCGUAAGAUGUGAGGAAGGUGGGGAUGACGUCAAAUCAGCACGGCCCUUACGUCCGGGGCUACACACGUGUUACAAUGGGAGGUACAGAAGGCCGCUACCUGGCGACAGGAUGCCAAUCCCCAAAACCUCUCUCAGUUCGGAUCGAAGUCUGUAACCCGACUUCGUGAAGCUGGAUUCGCUAGUAAUCGCGCAUCACCCAUGGCGCGGUGAAUACGUUCCCGGGCCUUGUACACACCGCCCGUCA